rnacentral:rRNA from 1 species
AACAGUAAGUGUUUAAUUAUGGCACAUCUGGAUGGGUAUCUAGGAAUUUAACACAUGCAAGUCUAAUGAUUCAUCUUGAGUCAUGGCGUACAGGUCAGUAAUAUAUAGGAAGAUACCCCAAGAAUCAUGCUAAUCAUGAAUAUAACAAAAGAGUAUAUAACUCGUCUUGGGAUUUGCCUAUAUCCUAACAGGUAGUUGGUGAGGUAAUGCUUAACAAGCCUACGAGGGGUAGAAGAGGAUGAAAGUCCUACAUUCGACAUUGGAAAUGAAAAAGUCCAAAGCAUCUCAUGGUGCGCAGCAGUGAAGAAUAUUGGUCAAUGCACUAAAGUGUGAACCAGUUACCUAGAUUCGGGGAAACUCGAUGUAAGAAUAAUGAAUGAUGAUCAUAUUCCUAUUAGUCCUGUCAAAAUUCUGUGCCAGCAGACGCGGUAAGACAGAAAGGGCAACCCAUCAGAGUUUUGAAUAGGUGUAAAGGAUACGUAGCCUGUGAUAAUUAUCACUAGAGUCAAAUAGAGGAACUAACAAUACCUAGAGAAGGGAUGAUAUCUUAUGAUACUAGGGGGAGAACCAAUGGCGAAAGCAUAGUUCCAGGUAAUGACUGACGGUAAGGUAUGAAGGCUGAGGCAGGAAUAAGGAUUAGAUACCCUAGUACUCUCAGCUGUAAACGAUGUAGAUUAGAGAUAUGUCUGAUUAGAUAUGUCUCCAUGCAAACGCGAUAAAUCUACCACCUGUAGAGUAUAGUCCCAUGGCUGAAAUACAAAUAAUUAGACGGUCUGUGAGCAAACGGAGUGGAGCAUGUUAUUUAAUACGAUAAUCCGCGUAAAAUCUUACCACAUCUUGCAUACGAUGAUAUCACUCCUAAGAGUGCAUCAGUACAGGUGUUGCAUGGCUGUCGCCAGCUCGUGUCAGUGAGACGUAUGGUUAAUUCCGUUAAACGAGCGCAAUCCUCGCCAUGAUUAUAAAGAUUCAUGGUCUCAUUCUGAUAAAGAAUGAUUUUAGGAGGACUAUGACAAGCCCUCAUGGCCCUUAUGGUGUGGGCUAUAGACGUGCUACAAGAAGACUGACAAUGUGUUGCAAUAUCGAAAGAUGGAGCCAAUCACCUAAAAAGUCUUAUUAUACGAAUUGUAUGCUGGAACUCGCGUACAUGAAGCAGGAAUUCCGAGUAAUCGUAGAUCACCACGCUACGGUGAAACUCAAUCUCACGGAUGUACUAACCGCUCGUCACGGGAGGAGAGACUUAUAACUAUGAAGUAGCAAUAGUAUUACUUUACUAAAGAUCCUUAUGAUCAGAUUAUUCAGCCGCUAGGUUUAAGUAAAUAUUAUAAUGUGUUACGAAUAGUCUCGGUUGAUUCUUCUGAAGUCGAAACAAGGUGACUCUUAGGGAACUAGGAGUCGAUUAAUAACUAUU